GCCUUCGUGGUGCAGUGGUCAACACUUUCGGCGCGUAUUCGAGAGGUCCGCGGUUCGAGUCCCGGAGACGGCA
rnacentral:tRNA from 1 species